GAUGAACGCUGGCGGCGCGCCUAACACAUGCAAGUCGAACGAUUAAAGCACCUUCGGGUGUGUAUAAAGUGGCGAACGGCUGAGUAACACGUGGGCAACCUGCCCCUUUCAUUGGGAUAGCCACGGGAAACCGUGGAUAAUACCGAAUACUUCGAGACUUCCGCAUGGAAGACUCGAGAAAGCUCCGGCGGAGAGGGAUGGGCCCGCGGCCUGUUAGCUUGUUGGUGGGGUAACGGCCUACCAAGGCAAUGAUGGGUAGCUGGGUUGAGAGACCGACCAGCCAGAUUGGGACUGAGACACGGCCCAGACUCCUACGGGAGGCAGCAGUGGGGAAUCUUGCACAAUGGGCGAAAGCCUGGUGCAGCGACGCCGCGUGCGGGAUGAAGGCCUUCGGGUUGUAAACCGCUUUCAGCAGGGACGAGGCGAAAGUGACGGUACCUGCAGAAGAAGCCCCGGCUAACUACGUG
rnacentral:rRNA from 1 species